rnacentral:rRNA from 1 species
AUGAACGCUGGCGGCGUGCCUCAUACAUGCAAGUCGAGCGCACAGAUGAGGAGCUUGCUCCUCUGACGUUAGCGGCGGACGGGUGAGUAACACGUGGAUAACCUACCUAUAAGACUGGGAUAACUUCGGGAAACCGGAGCUAAUACCGGAUAAUAUAUUGAACCGCAUGGUUCAAUAGUGAAAGACGGUUUUGCUGUCACUUAUAGAUGGAUCCGCGCCGCAUUAGCUAGUUGGUAAGGUAACGACUUACCAAGGCAACGAUGCGUAGCCGACCUGAGAGGGUGAUCGGCCACACUGGAACUGAGACACGGUCCAGACUCCUACGGGAGGCAGCAGUAGGGAAUCUUCCGCAAUGGGCGAAAGCCUGACGGAGCAACGCCGCGUGAGUGAUGAAGGUCUUCGGAUCGUAAAACUCUGUUAUUAGGGAAGAACAAAUGUGUAAGUAACUAUGCACGUCUUGACGGUACCUAAUCAGAAAGCCACGGCUAACUACGUG